CCGGGCUCAUGCAUCCCCCCACGCCCCUCCCCUCUGAAACCCUCAGUGUGUUUCCCCGGAGUUCACGGUCUCACGUGGUUCGUCUCCCCUGAUCUCUGGCAGGAGCCGGAUGGAUCUGGGGGGGAGGGGACUGACCCUCCGGCAGUUCUGCCUACGUCCAGGCGCUCCUUCCCCCCGCCUGAUUUCUGGUGGGUGGACGCCGAGGGCCUUGAGGUUGCAGAGCAGGUCCCCGGAACUCUGUGGGAACACUGCCUUGUCUGGCCGCAGGGGGUGAGUUCCCCGCGGGAGGGCUUCAGCGCAUUUUGGGGGGAAGUUUAAACACUUCAUCGAGAUGCCUGAAAAUCACAUUAAGCACCGUGCACCAGGCAGAAAAGUCUCUGGGAACCUGGGUGUCGGAACAAAUGUGAGAACGAACUAUGAAGGGUUUUUAUUGAGAAAGGGUUGGUGCCUUCAAAGGGGGUGAAUUCUGGGGGCACAGACAGGGCUUCUCUUGUCAGAAAGGCCAAGGGAAGGUGGGCCACAUAGUUUUAAGACACAAGGUCACAUAGCCGGGGGACAGGUCAGCCGGACUUCGCCAUCGGCCCGCAGUCCUUAUGUUUCCCUCUGCCCACUUCCCCUGGCCGUACUCACGGCGCUUAAUAACCCGAGCCACGAGAACUGCGGGCUUAACCAGGGCAGCCUGGGCGAGUGUUCAUAGGGUCCCACUGGGUAACAGACCAUGGAAGACAAGGCACAAUCCUCUUAACUUGGUGCUUUCAUUGUUCCUAAAAAAACUCUUGGUUAAUAGAUACCUUUUAAAUCGAGAAGUUAGGGGUCAUUGUUGCAACCGUAGCCGAGCUUGCUACAGAGGAGCUGUUGUGAAGAAUCAACAGCCAGAAAACCCCACCUGACAGCACCGUCUCCGUGUUCCACAGAGGCUUCGGAGGGGUCCCUGGGAUUUGGGGAAAUGCACAUUCCCAGGCGUGGAGGAGGCUGUUCCUCUGAACGAGGCUAAUGAGGUUUUCCGGCCUCUAGAAUGGAGCUGGUCGUCUUGCCCCAACCCACCCGUCAAAGCCUUUCACACCUGAGGGCCCACUUCCGUGACCGGCAAGCUGAGGUUGGCUGUGGGCAGAGGACUCCGUUUCUGCCCCUGCUUCCCGUGGAUCCACCCAUAGAACUGUCUGAGCCUCCUCGUGACCCGGCCACCGGCUUCCCCCAGAGAGAGACAUCCCAGGGGAAGCCAGGCAGAAGCCAGGACAUCUUUUAGGACCUCAUGUCAGGAGUCCUGGUGUCUUUCCUGCAGUGUUCUACUAGUCACGCAGGUAGGUCGUGUUCACGCAGGGAAGAAUGAGUGGCCCUUCCCAGAGAGCACGUGGUGGUAAGGAGCCCUCUGUAAGGGUCUGUGAGUUGUGGCUUUUAGCUGGACAGCACUGAAUCUGACUCCGGUUAACUUGAUGAGAGUAGGAACUGGACAGAAGGUGACGGGGCAGUUCAGCAUCAAGCGGAAGUCUGGAGAACACGGCGCAGGAAAGGGACAGGAGCCGGGGAGGCUCUGGACCACAAUUAAGGCGCGGCCACCAGAAGCUUUCGGUAAGGAUGUGGCCUGUGGUCUGUGGCACUGAUGCUGCUGGGCAUGGCCGGCGGCAGACUCUCGGGGCUGUGGCUUCCGUGAACGCUUCUGAAACAUCCUUGGAUCUGUGACUCACCCUGAAGAGCCGAAGCCUUGGGUAGGACUGAUGGUCGGACCCCCUCGCACGUCCCUGCCACAGUCUGGCUCCAGACAUUUCAGUGUGUUCAGCGGUGGCCCCUGGGACACCUUCAUACUCUCCUGGCAGCGUGUUUCACCUGGCCCCUGGCGUUCACCUUAGGGGAGCUCGACUUAGGGCAUCCCCCGGACGACGAGACUGGUCUUCAAGCAAACGGAUGUGGAUGCCUCCCCUGAGCCAGUCAUUCUUCUAAACACGUGAGUCUCUCCACUAUUGCCAGGAAAGGCAUGGCCUUGCGUGUGUAUUAGUAAGUCGUAUCUCUAAGCGCGUGAGUCCGCAAAAACAGGCUGAGAAACAACCGGGGACGGCUGGUCCCCAUUUGCCCAUUAAGGGUGAAUUGAUUUUCACUCCUUUAGUUCCACUACUUGCCAGCAAGCAAGCGGUAGUGGAUAAACAGGAAUGUGAUUGAAUUAAUCCGCCAAUUUCAUUUUUCUGCAAACUGGAGAAAGAGACUGAUGCUUGAUGUUCCUGGGCAGCAAGUCUUGACCCAUCACGAGGUUCCUGGUCUCCCUGGGCGCAGAGGCCAGGACUCUGGGGUCCAAAAGGGUGGGAAGGGGAUUGGUCAGGUUUGUCUGGAACGUGGCUGAGCACGACUUGGCUUACUACAGUCGGAUGGGAUAGCGUGGGGGGACAGGAACCACCAUCCAGGAAGCAGGGGGUCUCUGGGGCCAAGGUUCAGGGUGGGACCCUGUUUCGUGAGAAGAGCGUGGCGAAGUCGAGUCAGGCUUGGUCACGGGUGUGUGACUACAAUCAGAGGCGAGGGAGGGCCGGGCUCGCGGAUGACCCCGUUAUGAAGUGGCAGACCUCCAAGUAGGGGGCACUAUUGAAGAACCAGCACCUGCUGGCAAGCUGAAGGUUUCUGGGUUUUCCGGACCUAUGAGAAAUUUUCGUUUGUACAUGACUGCAGAAUAGAGAGAACCAUCAUUUAUACAGAAAGGAUUCUGUGGGUUUGAUAGCUCAGUACAUUUCCAACAAUAGCUGCUUUAUACAAGUUUUUGUGGGAAGACGUGAAAUCCUCACCUCCCACAUCUGGGCAGUCGGGAGCUCUGGGUGGUGUCCCAAGAGGGAAGCUGAUUCCUGACAUCGGGACUGGAUUCUACACGCCGGUGGGAUCGAGCAUCCAGAGGGAAUGGAGGGCGCAGAGGCUGUGUCUCGGGGGGCCCAGGCCCACUUUGGUUCUUCAGAUUCCUCUCGCUGGCCGAGGAAGGGGAGGGCAUGUGGGAACAGGUGCCUCUGGGGAGUUGUAGCUCCCCACUUCUGCUCCAGGGCUCAGAAUGCAGCCCCCCCGCCUAGCCCCAGGGCUCUGAGCUCAGCUCUGCACAGUUAGAGAGAAAGAGGCUCAUGCAAGAAGACAGCCAACCUACCGCCCAGGUCUAGCCAGCGAGGCGGACGGAGAGUUCAAGGGUGAGCCUCUUCCUCCUGCUUUCAGGGCCACGUUUCGCUGAGUGUGCUGUGGGCGUCGGGCCCUGCUCGGAGCCCCGGCAGGGCCACACAGCUGUGGGUUGACCUGGGACACUCACAAACCCCAGAUCAAAUCCACAAUCCAAGCAGAAGGCCCUUUUGCCUAUAAGUACUUAGUGGAGGCAGUUGCACUCUCUUGGAGC